UGGGGAAUAUUGCACAAUGGAGGGAACUCUGAUGCAGCGACGCCGCGUGAACGAAGAAGGCUUUCGAGUCGUAAAGUUCUUUUAUAUGGGAAGAUAAUGACGGUACCAUAAGAAAAAGCCCCGGCUAACUACGUGCCAGCAGCCGCGGUAAUACGUAGGGGGCUAGCGUUGUCCGGAAUCACUGGGCGUAAAGGGUUCGCAGGCGGAAAUGCAAGUCAGGUGUAAAAGGCAGUAGCUUAACUACUGUAAGCAUUUGAAACUGCAUAUCUUGAGAAGAGUAGAGGUAAGUGGAAUUUUUAGUGUAGCGGUGAAAUGCGUAGAUAUUAAAAGGAAUACCGGUGGCGAAGGCGACUUACUGGGCUCAUUCUGACGCUGAGGAACGAAAGCGUGGGUAGCAAACAGG
rnacentral:rRNA from 3 species